rnacentral:rRNA from 1 species
UACGUGGGGUGCAAGCGUUGUUCGGAAUUACUGGGCGUAAAGCGCGUGUAGGUGGCUCGUUAAGUCUCGUGUGAAAACCCUAGGCUCAACCUAGGAAUUGCGCGGGAAACUAGCGAGCUUGAGUCCGGGAGAGGGUAGUGGAAUUCCUGGUGUAGAGGUGAAAUUCGUAGAUAUCAGGAGGAACACCGGUGGCGAAGGCGGCUACCUGGACCGGUACUGACACUGAGACGCGAAAGCGUGGGGAGCAAACAGG